rnacentral:rRNA from 1 species
AUUGAACGCUGGCGGCAGGCCUAACACAUGCAAGUCGAACGAGUGGCGGACGGGUGAGUAAUGUCUGGGAAACUGCCCGAUGGAGGGGGAUAACUACUGGAAACGGUAGCUAAUACCGCAUACCAUCGGAUGUGCCCAGAUGGGAUUCGCUAGUAGGUGGGGUAACGGAUCACCUAGGCGACGAGCCCUAGCUGGUCUGAGAGGAUGACCAGCAAAACUGGAACUGAGAAACGGUCCAGACUCCUAGGGGAGGAAGAGGUGGGGAAUAUUGCACAAUGGGCGCAAGCCUGAUGCAGCCAUGCCGCGUGUAUGAAGAAGGCCUUCGGGUUGUAAAGUACUUGCAGCGAGGAGGCGUUACUCGCAGAAGAAGCACCGGCUAACUCCGUGCCAGCAGCCGCGGUAAUA